AGUGACACAGUAACAGAGGGAUUGAGGGCCCUGCUCAGUGAGUUUACAUGUUAGAGGUAGUGGGGUAUAGUGACACAGUAACAGAGGGAUUGAGGCCCUGCUCAGUGUUUACAUGCUAGAGGAAGUGGGGUAUAGUGACACAGUAACAGAGGGAUUAAGGGCCUGCUCAAUAAUCUUACAUGCUAGAGGGAGUGGGGUAUAGUGACACAGUAACAGAGGGAUUGAGGGCCCUGCUCAGUGAGUUUACAUGUUAGAGGGAGUGGGGUAUAGUGACAGUAACAGGGAUUGAGGGCCUGCUCAGUGAGUUUACAUGUUAGAGGGAGUGGGGUAUAGUGACACAGUAACAGAGGGAUUGAGGCCCUGCUCAGUGAGUUUACAUGCUAGAGGGAGUGGGGUAUAGUGACACAGUAACAGGGAUUGAGGCCCUGCUCAGUGAGUUUACAUGUUAGAGGGAGUGGGGUAUAGUGACACAGUAACAGAGGGAUUGAGGGCCCUGCUCAGUGAGUUUACAUGUUAGAGGGGGUGGGGUAUAGUGACACAGUAACAGAGGGAUUGAGGGCCUGCUCAGUGAGUUUACAUGUUAGAGGGAGUGGGGUAUAGUGGCACAGUAACAGAGGGAUUUAGGGCCUGCUCAGUGAGUUUACAUGUUAGAGGAGUGGGGUAUAGUGACAGUAACAGAGGGAUUGAGGCCCUGCUCAGUGAGUUUACAUGUUAGNNNNNNNNNNNNNNNNNNNNNNNNNNNNNNNNNNNNNNNNNNNNNNNNNNNNNNNNNNNNNNNNNNNNNNNNNNNNNNNNNNNNNNNNNNNNNNNNNNNNUAACAGAGGGAUUGAGGGCCUGCUCAGUGAGUUUACAUGUUAGAGGGAGUGGGGUAUAGUGUAACAGAGGGAUUGAGGCCCUGCUCAGUGAGGUUACAUGUUAGAGGGAGUGGGGUAUAGUGACACAGUAACAGAGGGAUUGAGGCCCUGCUCAGUGAGUUUACAUGUUAGAGGGAGUGGGGUAUGGUGAAACAGUAACAGAGGGAUUGAGGGCCUGCUCAGUGAGUUUAUAUGUUAGAGGGAGUGGGGUAUAGUGACACAGUAACAGAGGGAUUGAGGGCCUGCUCAAUGAGAUUACAAACUACAGGGAGUGGGGUAUAGUGACACAGUAACAGAGGGAUUGAAGGCCCUGCUCAAUGAGAUUACAUACUACAGGGAAUGGGGUAUAGUGACACAGUAACAGAGGGAUUGAGGGUCUGAUCAGUGAGUUUACAUGCUAGAAGGAGUGGGGUAUAGUGACAGUAACAGAGGGAUUGAGGGCCUGCUCAGUGAGUUUACAUAUUAGAGGGAGUGGGGUGUAGUGACACAGUAACAGAGGGAUUGAGGGUCCUGCUCAGUGAGUUUACAUGUUAGAGGGAGUGGGGUAUAGUGACACAGUAACAGAGGGAUUGAGGGCCCCGCUCAGUGAGUUUACAUGUUAGAGGGAGUGGGGUAUAGUGACACAGUAACAGAGGGAUUGAAGGCCCUGCUCAAUGAGAUUACAUACUACAGGGAGUGGGGUAUAGUGACACAGUAACAGAGGGAUUGAGGGCCUGCUCAGUGAGUUUACAUGUUAGGGGGAGUGGGGUAUAGUGACAGUAACAGAGGGAUUGAGGGCCUGCUCAGUGAAUUUACAUGUUAGGGGGAGUGGUGUAUAGUGACACAGUAAAAGAGGGAUUGAGGGCUUGCUUAGUGAGUUUACAUGUUAGAGGGAGUGGGGUGUAGUGACACAGUAACAGAGGGAUUGAUGGACCUGCUCAGUGAGCUUACAUGUUAGAGGGAGUGGGGUAUAGUAAAGUGACACAGUAACACAGGGAUUGAGGGCCUGCUCAGUGAGUUUACAAGUUAGAAGGAGUGGGGUAUAGUGACACAGUAACAGAGGGACUGAGGGCCUGUUCAGUGAGUUUACAUGCUAAAGGGAGUGGGGUAUAGUAAAGUGACACAGUUACACAGGGAUUGAGGGCCUGCUCAGUGAGUUUCCAAGUUAGAUUGAGUGGGGUAUAGUGACACAGUAACAGAGGGAUUGAGGGCCUGCUCAAUGAGAUUACAAACUACAGGGAGUGGGGUAUAGUGACACAGUAACAGAGGGAUUGAAGGCCCUGCUCAAUGAGAUUACAUACUACAGGGAAUGGGGUAUAGUGACACAGUAACAGAGGGAUUGAGGGCCUGCUCAGUGAGUUUACAUAUUAGAGGGAGUGGGGUAUAGUGACACAGUAACAGAGGGAUUGAGGGCCUGCUCAAUGAGUUUACAUGCUAGAAGGAGUGGGGUAUAGUGACACAGUAACAGAGGGAUUGAGGGCCCUGCUCAGAGAGUUUACAUGUUAGAGGGAGUGGGGUAUAGUGACACAGUAACAGAGGGAUUGAGGCCCCUGCUCAGAGAGUUUACAUGUUAGAGGGAAUGGGGUAUAGUGACACAGUAACAGAGGGAUUGAGGGCCCUGCUCCGUGAGUUUACAUGUUAGAGAGAGUGGGGUAUAGUGACACAGUAACUGAGGGAUUGAGGGCUUGCUCAGUCAGUUUACAUGUUAGAUGGAGUGGGGUAUAGUGACACAGUAACAGAGGGAUAGAGGGCCCUGCUCAGUGAGUUUACAUGCUAGAGGGAGUGGGGUAUAGUGACACUGUAACAGAGGGAUUGAGAGCCUGCUCAGUGAGUUUACAUGUUAGAGGGAGUGGGGUAUAGUGACACAGUAACAGAGGGACUGAGGGAGUGGGGUAUAGUGACAUAGUAACAGAGGGACUGAUGGCCCUGCUCAGUGAGCUUACAUGUUAGAGGGAGUGGGGUAUAGUGAGACUGUAAGCGAGGGAUUGAGGGCCCUGCUCAGUGAGCUUACAUGCUAGAGGGAGUGGGGUAUAGUGACACAGUAACAGAGGGAUUGAAGGCCUGCUCACUGAGCUUACAUGUUAGAGGGAGUGGGUAGUGGCGUACACAUGACCAAUGGUGCCCCGGUGCAAAAAUUGAUCCGUGCCCCCCCCACCCCCCCCUGGCGCGGGUCGGGGUUGCAACACAUGGUGGCGGGCACCUGGUCGCAGGGAUUGCAGGGCUGCAACCCCGCGACCGCGGUAUGCACACACACUUAAAGGACCACUACAGACACCCAGAUCACAUCAGCUCAAUGAAGUGGUCUGGGUGCCAGGUCCCUCUAGUUUUAACCCUGCAGCUGAAAACAUAGCAGUUUCAGAGAAACGGCUAUGUUUCACUGAGGGUUAAUCUAGCCUCUGGUGGCUGUCUCAUUGACAGCUGCUAGAGGAGCUUCCGCAAUUCUCACUGUGAAAAUCACAGUGAGAAGACACUGAACGUCCAUAGGAAAGCAUUGAGUAAUGCUUUCCUAUGGGCGGUUUAAAUGCGCGCGCGCCUCUUGCCGCGCAUGUGCAUUUUGGAGCUGAGUGGCGGACACUGGGGAGUCUGACGCUGGAGAAAGGUAAAUGCACACACUCUCACGAACAGACGCAUACACACUAGCUAACAGACACACAUUUACUGACAGAGACACACUCAGUGACAGACAUACAUACACACUCACUUACAAAACAUACACUUUCACUGACAAACACACACUCACUAACAGACAUCGAACACACUCAGUAACAGACACACACAGUAACACACUAACUAGCAAACACACACCCAAUAACAGACACAUUCACUGACACACACAUACACUAACACACACUCUAACACACACACUCUAACACACACACUCUAACACACACACUCUAACACACACAUACACUAACACACACUCUAACACACACUCUAACACACAAAUACACUAACACACACACACACUAACACACACACAUUUUUUUUUUCAAAUUUAAUCCCCCCAGCCUCCUUACCUUUUGGAGUGCUGGGGGAUUCCCUGGGGUCCAGUGGUGGUGCUGCUGGGCUCCUGGGCGGCAGGUCACUGUGGGCAGGUGGCCGGUCAGGCAAGCGGGCGCGCGAGGGAGAACUCACUGCUUCCUCUUCAGCUCCCUCGCGCGCCGCGUAGGUAUGCCGGCGCCGGAAGAUGACGUCAUCUUCCGGCUCCGGCAUCAGUGCGGUGCGCGAGGGAGCUGAAGAGGAAGCAGUGAGUGCUCCCUCGCGCGCCCGCUUGCCUGACCGGCCACCUGCCCGGUGACAGCAGGGCCAGCCUCGGGGGGGCCUGAGGUGACCGGCUCCUGGGCCCCCCCAGGGGAAGAGGCUGGCCCUGUGGCUACAUACCGGGUCGCAGGGGCGGCCGGGCCGCGACCCCUGCGACCCUGGUAUGUACGCCACUGGGAGUGGGGUAUAGUGACACAGUAACAGAGGGAUUGAGGGCUUGCUUAAAUGUUAGAGGGAGUGGGGUAUAGUGACACAGUAACAGAUGGAUUGAGGGCCCUGCUCAGUGAGUUUACAUGUUAGAGGGAGUGGGGUAUAGUGACACAGUAACAGAGGGAUUGAGGGCCCUGCUCAGUGAGUUUACAUGUUAGAGGGAGUGGGGUAUAGUGACACAGUAACAGAGGGAUUGAGGGCCUGCUCAGUGAGUUUA
rnacentral:lncRNA from 1 species